UCCUCAGUGGCUCGAUGGUAAAGAAACUGCCUGCAAUGCAGGAGAGACAGGAAACGUGGGUUCAAUUCCUGCUUCAGGAA
rnacentral:tRNA from 1 species